CCGUAGGGUAUGCGUGGUGAUCUGGUAAGUGUCUCGCUUAUGAGAUCACGCGUAUAUUCUCUGCC
rnacentral:pre_miRNA from 1 species